rnacentral:rRNA from 1 species
UGGGGAAUAUUGCACAAUGGGCGCAAGCCUGAUGCAGCCAUGCCGCGUGUAUGAAGAAGGCCUUCGGGUUGUAAAGUACUUUCAGCGAGGAGGAAGGCGUUGUGGUUAAUAACCGCAGCGAUUGACGUUACUCGCAGAAGAAGCACCGGCUAACUCCGUGCCAGCAGCCGCGGUACUACGGAGGGGGCAAGCGUUAAUCGGAAUUACUGGGUGUAAAGCGCACGCAGGCGGUCUGUCAAGUCGGAUGUGAAAUCCCCGGGCUCAACCUGGGAACUGCAUCCGAAACUGGCAGGCUAGAGUCUUGUAGAGGGGGGUAGAAUUCCAGGUGUAGCGGUGAAAUGCGUAGAGAUCUGGAGGAAUACCGGUGGCGAAGGCGGCCCCCUGGACAAAGACUGACGCUCAGGUGCGAAAGCGUGGGGAGCAAACA